AAGGAACAGGUCCAGAAAGCCGUCGAGGCACCACCUUCUCCUGUGGAGCAGACAACCUUCAAGUGGACAAUCGACGGUUUCUCCUCGCUCCUUGACUUAGAUGAAGGAUGGACAGCCUCCAGGGUGUUUGAGAUCAGUGGGCUCAGAUGGUACUUGAAACUGAACCCAAGGGACACCAAGAGUGGCGACCAAAAUGAAUAUGUUUCUCUUCGGCUUGAGCUGUCGCCAGCAUCCGUGAGAUCUCACACGGUCGUGGAGGCAACUUACAAGUUCUUUAUAUAUGACCAGUUAAAUGGAAAGCAUCAUGAACAACCUCAAGUGUGCCACAAUUUUCAGACUACAAGCACAAGGUCGGGGACAUCAUGCAUGAUCCCCCUCGCCACACUGAAGGAAAAGUCCUCUGGAUUCCUCGUCGAAAACAGCUGUGCUUUCGGUGUAGAGUUUAUCAAAGUUACUGCUGCUAAAACUAAUGAUGCGACAAAGAAGCUGUUUGUUCAGAAGAAGAUAAACAAAAUCUCCAGUAUUCCAGAAGUCUACACCUGGGACAUCGAGGACUUUUUUGCGCUGAAAAGCCCGAGCCACUCUCCAGAUUUUGAGCUCCAUGGACACAAAUGGUUCAUCACCAUCCAUCCAUCUGGAUUCGAUAAGAAUAGAAACUUUAUCUCCUUGUCCCUGACCAUGAAGGUGACGGAUAUACUCCAUGAGAACUCCGCGAACCUGGUACAAUUGGACAUACGCAUCAAAAACCAGGGAAUGGCAAGGACAAUGAAAAUGAUAGGCCGGUGCGAGUUCUCAAAGAAUGCUACUAGUUGGGGAUGGGACAAGUUCAUAUCGCUGGAAGAUUUCAAGGACUCUUCAAAUGGUUAUCUCGUGAAAACGAAAUGCUGCAUUGAAGCAAAGGUUGCCGUUAUUGGUGCCUCCAAGAUGGAGUAG
rnacentral:rRNA from 1 species